rnacentral:rRNA from 1 species
AUACGGGAGGCAGCAGUGGGGAAUUUUGGACAAUGGGGGCAACCCUGAUCCAGCCAUGCCGCGUGAGUGAAGAAGGCCUUCGGGUUGUAAAGCUCUUUCAGACGGAAAGAAACGGCUACGGCUAAUACCCGUGGCUAAUGACGGUACCGUCAGAAGAAGCACCGGCUAACUACGUGCCAGCAGCCGCGGUAAUACGUAGGGUGCGAGCGUUAAUCGGAAUUACUGGGCGUAAAGCGUGCGCAGGCGGUUUUGUAAGACAGGUGUGAAAUCCCCGGGCUUAACCUGGGAACUGCAUUUGUGACUGCAAGGCUAGAGUAUGGCAGAGGGGGGUAGAAUUCCACGUGUAGCAGUGAAAUGCGUAGAUAUGUGGAGGAAUACCGAUGGCGAAGGCAGCCCCCUGGGUCAAUACUGACGCUCAUGCACGAAAGCGUGGGGAGCAAACAGGAUUAGAUACCCCGGU